UAGGACAUAUGGGCUGGUGUCUUCUCUCCUUUUGACCUUCCCCACGCUCCAGGUGUUUGGGAAGAGAGUGACGAGGAUAUCUGAGCAAGAAGUCACCUGGAGAUGUGCAGGGAAGCUGUGCGGCUUGAAACAUAAGACAUGAGAACUCCAUCUCACGCCAGUCACACGCUGGCUCUGGACCCCGCUGGGCAGAGGGCCAGGUGUGGAAGAAAGUUCUCCCCGUCAGUGAUGAAGUAUGGUUAAAAGUACUGCAAAUCCCAGUUUUCACUUGGGCUUCCCUCGUGGCUCAGACUGUAAAGAAAAUGCCUGUGAUGCAGGAGACCUAGGUUUGAUCCCUGAGUUGGGACGAUCCCCAGAAGGAAAUGGCUAUCCACUCCAGUAUUCUUGUCUGGAGAAUCCCACGGAUAGAGGAGCCUGACAGGCUACAAUCUGUGGGGUCACAAAGUUUUCACUGGCUCUUUGGAAUAAAGCUAA